AUUGAACGCUGACGGCAGGCCUAACACAUGCAAGUCGAGCGGAUGAAGGGAGCUUGCUCCUGGAUUCAGCGGCGGACGGGUGAGUAAUGCCUAGGAAUCUGCCUGGUAGUGGGGGAUAACGUCCGGAAACGGGCGCUAAUACCGCAUACGUCCUGAGGGAGAAAGUGGGGGAUCUUCGGACCUCACGCUAUCAGAUGAGCCUAGGUCGGAUUAGCUAGUUGGUGGGGUAAAGGCCUACCAAGGCGACGAUCCGUAACUGGUCUGAGAGGAUGAUCAGUCACACUGGAACUGAGACACGGUCCAGACUCCUACGGGAGGCAGCAGUGGGGAAUAUUGGACAAAGGGCGAAAGCCUGAUCCAGCCAUGCCGCGUGUGUGAAGAAGGUCUUCGGAUUGUAAAGCACUUUAAGUUGGGAGGAAGGGCAGUAAGUUAAUACCUUGCUGUUUUGACGUUACCAACAGAAUAAGCACCGGCUAACUUCGUG
rnacentral:rRNA from 1 species